CCUACGGGAGACAGCAGUGAGGAAUAUUGGUCAAUGGACGAGAGUCUGAACCAGCCAAGUAGCGUGAAGGAUGACUGCCCUAUGGGUUGUAAACUUCUUUUAUAAAGGAAUAAAACGAGGCACGUGUGCCUUUUCGCAUGUACUUUAUGAAUAAGGAUCGGCCAACUCCGUGCCAGCAGCCGCGGUAAUACGGAGGAUACGAGCGUUAUCCGGAUUUAUUGGGUUUAACGGGAGCGUAGAUGGGUUGUUAAGUCAGUUGUGAAAGUUUGCGGCUCAACCGUAAAAUUGCAAUUGAUACUGGCAGUCUUGAGUACAGUUGAGGUAGGCAGAAUUCGUGGUGUAGCGGUGAAAUGCUUAGAUAUCACGAAGAACCCCGAUUGCGAAGGCAGCUUACUAGACUGUGACUGACAUUGAUGCUCGAAAGUGUGGGUAGCAAACAGGAUUAGAUACCCCGGUAGUC
rnacentral:rRNA from 1 species